UCGCUCUCACGUGACCAAGAGCUGACGUGUGCAGAAGUCCUUCUUGUCCUGGUCGUUGUUCCUGUCUGAGUACCAGCUCCCUAUUACCCUGAGGGAGGGCGGGCCUGCAGCUGAGGAAAGGAGGCGGAAAAGAAAAUUGUCCCGGAUCCCUGCAGGUUGCAGUACAACGCCAGGCAAGAGAAGAGGAAGGAAAUUAACCAGCUCGGUGAAGGUCGAGUUGAAGGUCUGCUGUAGCAGGUGGCACUGCUUGAAACAGGGGAGGAACUUUCCCCCGGAUCAGUAGAGGUUAACCUCCAGAACUUAGUUACUGUGGCCUUGAAGCAACUGAAGAAGAUCACUCUCCACAGGCCUGCACUCAGGCCCAAAGCCCUUUUCCCCUACCUUGACUGACUAUUUCUUGGUCCCUG
rnacentral:lncRNA from 1 species